rnacentral:tRNA from 1 species
GCCCAGGUGGCGGAAUUGGUAGACGCGCUAGGUUCAGGUCCUAGUAGGGGCAACUCUGUGCAGGUUCGAUUCCUGUCUUGGGCACCA